GGUGAGAUGGCCGAGUUGGUUAUGGCGUAUGGUUAAGGUUCUGCAAGCUUAACAUUAAUUCCAUAUGGAGCAAUCCGCGUGGGUUCGAGUCCCACUCUCAUCA